UACAGAGGAUGCAAGCGUUAUCCGGAAUGAUUGGGCGUAAAGCGUCUGUAGGUGGCUUUUUAAGUCCGCCGUCAAAUCCCAGGGCUCAACUCUGGACAGGCGGUGGAAACUACCAAGCUGGAGUACGGUAGGGGCAGAGGGAAUUUCCGGUGUAGCGGUGAAAUGCGCAGAUAUCAGGAGGAACACCGGUGGCGAAGGCGGGUCUCUGGGCCGAUAUUGACGCUGAGGAGCGAAAGCGUGGGGAGCGAACAGG
rnacentral:rRNA from 1 species